rnacentral:misc_RNA from 1 species
AACGCACAUUGCGCCCGCCAGUAUUCUGGCGGGCAUGCCUGUUCGAGCGUCAUUUCAACCCUCAAACCCCGCCUUUCCGGGGAUUGGAGUUGGGGAUCGGCCCUCCCGCCCCGCGCGGCGCAGGGGGGCCGGCCCCGAAAGUCAGUGGCGGUCCCGCCGUAGCGUCCUCUGCGUAGUAGCAACACCUCGCACCGGAUCUCGGCGCGGCCACGCCGUAAAAUUGCUGCGCGCUAGCGCAACACUUCUGAAGGUUGACCUCGGAUCAGGUAGGAAUACCCGCUGAACUUAA